rnacentral:lncRNA from 1 species
GGCAGACCGCCUGGCAGUGCUGAGGCCGAGGGCCCUGCACACCGCACACCAGGCUUUCGAUUCCUCUCUGCCUGUGCACCCACCUCUCCCGCACAGCUGAUCCUCCCACAUCCAGGCUGCUCUUCCUCCGCUCCCCCUCCGCGCACAGGGCGUCUUGCACUCCUCUAGUCCCCCCAGCACCUCUGUGGCCCCUGGUGCCGUGCGUCCUGGGCUGGCCAUGCCAGGGACAAAAGAGGGUCCAGUCCCUGUCCUCGGGUCUGGCUGGGGAAACAGGGCUCACUCACAUCCCCCACAAGACCAGCGCCGGGGCGGGGAGCCCAGGGCAGCAACGGAGGCCCUGGACAAGGUCACUUCUGGGCGGAAGUGGUGCCUGGGCUGAGACCUGAAGGGAAAAGGUGGCGGGGGACACUGAAACGGAACCAAGGAGCUGGUACAGGCCAGCCUCGGGCAGAGAGGAGCCUGGCACCCUAGCAAGGGUCAGGCAGCUCGCCUGGCUGGCGCGGGCGGGGGGCGUGAGUACAGGGGGAGGUGCAGGAAGUCAGGGGCGGGUCCACCGGCCCCAGAGGGAGGGGAGGCGGCUGUGCUAUUCGGACUCUGCUGCACACUGGGGCAUUCACAUUUUCACUCCCCCUCCAUCUCUCUGCCCUCCCCUCUCUUAUAUUCCUCUUUCCCUCCAUUUUUCUUCCUUUCCUCCCCCUCCCGACCCCUGCCGAGACCUUUCCCCACCUCCAGGGCACCCACGCUCGUCUCACCUUUGCGAUGGCCCACAGCGCCACCUGCAGGCCAGAGCCGGGGCAGCCCCUCGGCGUCGCCCACCUGACGGAAGACGCUGCUCCGGCGUCUCUUCCACCCAGAGAAGGGCUGCGCCAGCCCUGCCGCCCUCAGCCUCGGUCCGGGCCGGCUGCUCUGACCCUAGCCCCAUCCGCUCCCCAGCGGCCAGAGUGUCCGGUUUAAUGACAGAGUGCUCUGCCUUCCCAGCCCUGCCCCCAUUGCUGCGCGGCCAGGCGUGCCUGCCAGCGUCUCUACUCUCUUGCAGGGGAGGGCGGUCCACAGGGUCAUCACACCCAUCUUACAGACGAAGAGACGGACGUCGGCCAUCCCGGGAUCCGGGCUUUAUACUUAUUUGUGCCUCAACUCUAGGGUUGCCUACACUGUGGAGGCAGGCAGGAUGGCCACCCUCUGCUUCAUGGAAACAGGCGAGGAGAGGCUGUCACUUACCCCAGGCCACUGGCAAGGACAGGAAGUGAAGGUCUUCUGAGCGGCUCUCCAGCUCCCCUUUCCUCUCCCUACCCCAACACCACACCAUUGUGCUUUGAGGACCUGUCCAGCGCCAGCUCUUCGUAUUUUUGAAAGUUCCUUCCUCCAUCACAUCAAGCAUCUUCAGAUCCCACAUUAAAUCAAUGUUUAUGUAACUAUGGAAGAGCCAAGCAGAGCAGAAAGUGAC